GUGCCAGCCGCCGCGGUAAUACAAGGGGGGCAAGCGUUGUUCGGAAUUACUGGGCGUAAAGGGUCUGUAGGUGGCUUGCUAAGUCAGACGUGAAAUCCCUCAGCUUAACUGGGGAACUGCGUCUGAUACUGGCAAGCUUGAGUGCAGGAGAGGAACGCGGAAUUCCAGGUGUAGCGGUGAAAUGCGUAGAUAUCUGGAGGAACACCGGUGGCGAAGGCGGCGUUCUGGACUGCAACUGACACUGAGAGACGAAAGCCAGGGGAGCAAACGGGAUUAGAUACCCCUGUAGUCC
rnacentral:rRNA from 1 species